CCAGCGCUGUUCAUCUCGUAACCUGGAUCGCAUUUCUGCGUGUUGACACACGUGAAGGAUCCCACUGUGUUGGUGCACUGGUGACCCCGCGGACAAGGAUUACCUCUUGCGCAUUCGUCGAUAUCUUUUGCGAAAUCCCAGUCCGCAGCUGACCGGCUCUCGAUCCACGCAUCGGAAAGUUCCGACGGCGUUGACGCAUGUUCCGCUGCAGUUGUGACUACCUUCGGCGCAUUCGUCAAUAUCUGGCUCGUGAAAACGAAGGAGAAAGAAAAACGAAGCGCUGCAUAGUUACGCCUUCCACGGAGAACAAGACCUACUUAAACGCCUUACCUUGGCAGAAUCGAUCUUGGACGCUGAAACGAUGUCCGGCCGGGCAGAACGGAUAAGGCCGGCAA